rnacentral:lncRNA from 1 species
UUGGAUCAGAGGUCACGGUGGUUGAGUUUGCUGGCGAUAUCGUUCCUUCUAUGGAUGGUGAAAUCCGUAAGCAGUUUCAGCGUUCUCUUGAGAAGCAAAAGAUGAAGUUCAUGCUCAAGACCAAAGUUGUGUCCGUGGACGCCUCUGGAGACGGUGUGAAGCUCACGGUGGAGCCAGCUGAAGGUGGAGACCAGACCACGCUCGAAGCCGAUGUUGUCCUUGUCUCAGCGGGGAGAACACCCUUCACAUCUGGACUUGACCUGGAGAAAAUCGGAGUGGAAACCGACAAAGGUGGGAGAAUUCUGGUGAACGAGAGGUUCUCGACCAAU